rnacentral:rRNA from 1 species
AUUGAACGCUGGCGGCAGGCCUAACACAUGCAAGUCGAACGGAGCGGCGGACGGGUGCGUAAUACCUAGGAAUCUGCCUGAUAGUGGGGGAUAACGUUCGGUAACGGACACUGAUACCGCAUCCUAUCAGAUGAGCCUAGGUCGGAUUAGCUAGUUGGUGAGGUAAUGGCUCACCAAGGCUAAGAUCCGUAACUGGUCUGAGAGGAUGAUCAGUCACACUGGAACUGAGACACGGUCCAGACUCCUACGGGAGGCAGCAGUGGGGAAUAUUGCACAAUGGGCGAAAGCCUGAUCCAGCCAUGCCGCGUGUGUGAAGAAGGUCUUCGGAUUGUAAAGUACUUUAAGUUGGGAGGCGUUACCGACAGAAUAAGCACCGGCUAACUCUGUGCCAGCAGCCGCGGUAAUUC